rnacentral:rRNA from 1 species
GACGAACGCUGGCGGCGUGCUUAACACAUGCAAGUCGAACGGAAAGGCCCUGCUUUUGUGGGGUGCUCGAGUGGCGAACGGGUGAGUAACACGUGAGUAACCUGCCCUUGACUUUGGGAUAACUUCAGGAAACUGGGGCUAAUACCGGAUAGGAGCUCCUGCUGCAUGGUGGGGGUUGGAAAGUUUCGGCGGUUGGGGAUGGACUCGCGGCUUAUCAGCUUGUUGGUGGGGUAGUGGCUUACCAAGGCUUUGACGGGUAGCCGGCCUGAGAGGGUGACCGGCCACAUUGGGACUGAGAUACGGCCCAGACUCCUACGGGAGGCAGCAGUGGGGAAUAUUGCACAAUGGGCGGAAGCCUGAUGCAGCAACGCCGCGUGCGGGAUGACGGCCUCGGUGUAACGACUUCGUCCUCGUGACGAAGCGUGAGUGACGGUAAUGGGU